rnacentral:rRNA from 1 species
GACGGGGGGUGCAAGCGUUGCUCGGAAUUAUUGGGCAUAAAGAGUGGGAAGGUGGUGUAUUGAGUCUAUGGUGAAAGCCUUGAGCUUAACUCAAGAAGAGCCAUAGAGACUGAUAGACUAGAGUACUGGAGGGGGUCGCGGAAUUCCCGGUGUAGCGGUGAAAUGCGUAGAGAUCGGGAGGAACACCAGAGGCGAAAGCGGCGGCCUGGAAAGAGACUGACACUGAACCACGAGAGCGUGGGGAG